rnacentral:rRNA from 1 species
GAUGAACGCUGGCGGCGUGCUUUAUGCAUGCAAGUCGAACGGAAGAUGUAGCAAUAUAUCUUUAGUGGCGAACGGGUGAGUAACGCGUUGGUGACCUGCCCCAAAGUAAGGGAUAACAGUCCGAAAGGAUUGCUAAUACCGUAUGUGGCCAUCGAGAUUAGAGGCUCGAUGUCUAAAGGAGUAAUUCGCUUUGGGAGGGACCUGCGUCCCAUCAGCUAGUUGGUAGGGUAACGGCCUACCAAGGCUACGACGGGUAGGGGACCUGAGAGGGUGGCCCCCCACAAUGGAACUGAAACACGGUCCAUACACCUACGGGUGGCAG